CAGGAGUGCUCCCCUCCAGCCACGGGUCCCAGCCUGGUGGGGAGAGGUGGGUGCAGCCUCUCUGCUGUGCACUUUGUCCAUAUCAGGCAGCUGUUGAGUCUGCUGGUGUGGCCAUGAAACAGGGCGCUCAGAGCUGCUCAGCUGUAAGGAGCGAUGGACCUUGACCGCCAAAAGGGCCUGUGAACAGGCCUUAGUCAUCUUCCCAGAGGAGAGAAACAUUGAAAACGAAGCUGGAGAAGAGAAUUAACAUCUGCCAAACUUCCCACUCUGUCAGCACCAUGUAGUUUCUCAGGAUAUGGAGAGGAAGAAGACAAGGAGUCUACUGUCUAGGACACAGACAAGUUGCUUAAUUUUUAGAAUUUUAAAAAAUGUCUGCUUCCUCUAACUUGAAUAUAAGCUGCAGGACAGCAGGGAGUUCCUUCAUCCUGUUUGGCAAGGCAUCCCUGGAACUGGCAGCGUGUCACACACGUGGGAGACUCUCAAUAAACACUCAUUAACUUACUGGAACAACUGCAAUAUUGCAAAGUAAGAAUGGAAGUGUGAUCAAGGUGCUGGAAGAAUGGUGGAGAAAGUAAAAGCCAGAGAGGUGACAAUGGGACUGGGUUUUGAAGGAUGAAUAGGAGUUCAUCGAGGAGUGAAGGGCCCUCAUUGUCCAUCCUCCAACCCAAGGCCUUGGGACCACUCAGAAGCUCCAGAAGGAGGCUGGAGCCACUCCAUCCACCAAGACUUGAAAGGCCCAGGAAAUGCAGAAAGUAGAGAGGAAGAUAAAAAUUACCUACAACACCGCCAUCCAGACAUAACCACUGCUCGUUAACAUUCUGGCUCUCAGAAGGGAAUUCACUUUGGACCAACACUGAGGAACUGUUUCAGGACUCCUGAUCCAAACCGUCAAAAUACUUUCCAGAAAGGCUGAGACAACCUGGGCUGCCAGCAGCCCCAGAACCCACAGAGGCAGGUGGCCCUCUGGCAUCAAGCAGUGCAGGAUGGACCCCUGCCUCCCUCAUUCCUUGUGGGGCGCCCUAUCUCCCGGACAGAGGUCUGUGAGCACAGUCCUGGGCACGUGGUGGGAAGCGGAGACCAGAGAUGCGCUAUGGAGCUCAGUGCAGUCUGGCAGGGCAGCAAGCGAAGGCGAGGCUGGACAGCGAAUAAACAAAGAAAACGGCCAGUCCUUCCCGAGAGAGGCUGUGCAGAGAGCAGAGCUGGUGCGAUGGACGUACCUUUGCGGCAGGGGCUAUUCCUCCGAGGAAAGACCUCCCGGGAUCUGAGUGACUGGAGACAGCUCUCCCAGGUUGAAAGGGCAGGGGGACCGCAGGAGGAAAAGCCCUCGCGGGGCUCAGCCUCGAGCAGAGCCAGCAGGGCGAGAGGCGGGCAGGCCAGGGAGCUGGGCUUCCUUUCAAGAAGCCGCGUGAACCCCGGGCGGUCUGCAAGCAGGCCCACUCAGCUGUUAGAAGGAUCACGGCAAGCUGCUGGGUGGAGACCGUGGGGCCCCAGCCCCGGAAACGGGGUCACCAGGUAGCAGACGCUGCAGGGCAUGUGGUGAGAGGCAGUGGACGAGGGCGAGGAGAUGGGGGACGUGGAGGGAGAUGGGGAGAUGCCAGCUCAAGGGGACAAUGACCUUAAGGUGUGGGAAGGGCUGUCUGUGGAGGGAAAGGGAGGCUGGCUCCUCCUGCAGAAUCAGGACCUCCUGCCCCUCCCCCACUUACUGUUUGGCGGUCCGCGCUCAAAACUGGAACCCAGUACCCAGCAGGGAUUUGGCAGGUCAGUUGUUAGAAAUUGAAUGCACUGAAUAAACACACAUGAAAGUGGCUGGUUGAA